AAGUUGAAAAGUACUUUGAAAAGAGAGUGCAAGAGAACGUGAAACCGGUGUAAUGGAAGCAUAUGGAGUUGACGUAUCUGGUACGUAUUCAGUUGUUUUGCGUUGCGAUUGUUGAGUAUGUCAUUCCGCAAGGUUGGCUGCUCGGCUUGUCGUAGCGUAAGUCGAUGCAUUUACGUACGGAGUGCGCCGAGUUGUUCGAUGGUGUCUAUCGAAGCGAGUUUAGAGGACAUGGCUUGCUGUGAAACCUGGACUUGCCGAGGUAGGUUGCUGUUGUGCAGCUUUGUAGGAGGUGCGGGCAUACGCGCUUUGCGGUAUCGGGUUGGUCGGUUUGUGUUGUACGCAUGCGUGCGAUACUUAUGGGCUCGUCCGGUGCAGUAGGGUGCUCUGCGCUCUUCUCGGUGUAUAGUCAAUUUCCCAUUUGACCCGUCUUGAAACACGGACCAAGGAGUUUAUGGUAUACGCGAGUCAUUGGACUUUGAAAUCCAAAGGCGCAAUGAAAGUGAGAUCAUACGGUUAAAAAUGUGAUCGGUUGUUGUUUCGACGGCAGCCGAGCAACAUUGGCCCGUUUCUAGGAUUUAUCCUGUUGCGGAGCUUGAGCGUAUGCUAUGAGACCCGAAAGAUGGUGAACUAUGCCUGAACAGGAUGAAGCCAGAGGAAACUCUGGUGGAAGUCCGAAGCGGUUCUGACGUGCAAAUCGAUCGUCUGAUUUUGGUAU
rnacentral:rRNA from 1 species